GACGAACGCUGGCGGCGUGCUUAACACAUGCAAGUCGAACGAAGUGGCGAACGGGUUAGUAACGCGUAAUAAACCUGCCCUUCAGAGGGGGACACCAGUUGGAAACGACUGCUAAUACCGCCUACUGCAGGAGGGGCUUCCGUCUGGGUAGGUAGGUGGAGGGGUAACGGCCCACCAGGGCGAUGAUCAGGAGACGGUAGGAGAGGAGGAACGGCAACAUUGGGAAUGAGAAACGGCCCAGACGACUACGGGAGGAAGCAGUGGGGAAUAUUCCGCAAGGGAAGAAAGUCUGACGGAGCAACGCCGCGUGAGGGAGGACGGCCUUCGGGUUGUAAAGCUCUGUUAAUCGGGACGCGGUACCGGAAUAGAAAGCCACGGCUAACUACGUGCCAGCAGCCGCGGUAAUAC
rnacentral:rRNA from 1 species